ACCACUUUUCACAAAACAUGCAGUCUGAUCAAGCACUGUGGGAGUCUGUAAACUUGAUUGAGGAUUCGUUUUUUUACCCAGAACACAGCGUUCUUUAUCUUUGCCGGGUCCACUUCUGUCUUCCUCUCCUCACUCCCGGAUUCCUUGUCCUUUCUCUUCCCCGUAAAGAAACAAGGCUGGUCUCUAACAGGGAUUAUUUCACUAGGUGCCAAGAAAAUACAGUUUUCUUCACCUUGCUGCCGAGAUGGACUGACUUAAUCCAUGCAUCAUCAAGGGACAGUUCGUCUUAUUUUACUUAACAGCAACAACAGCAAAAGCCAAAGUUCAGAAAAUGGGAGUAACAUCCUAACUCACAGGGCUGCUUGGGUUGUGUCAAAGAGGAACAUUAACAAUGACAAUAUUAAUUUUAAUUUUCUGAGAAUAGAAUGCUUAUUGGGUAGUAACUCAUGAUUGAUACUGUGCUAUUUUUCCAGGACUGCUGUAAAAAAAAUUAUGGUAAAUGCUGUGGCUUAAACAAUGCACAUUUAUUAUCUGAAAAUUCUGGAAAUCAGAAGUCUGAAAUGGGUCUCACCAGCUAAAAUUAAGAGGUCAGCCACGCUGUAUUCCUUUCUGGAGGCUCUAGGGGAGAAUCCACUUGCUCGCCUUUUCUAGCCUCUACAGGAUGCCCAGAUCCCUUGACUCGUGGCCCCUUCCAUCUUCAAAGCCAGUAACAUUAUGUCUCUCUGACCAUUCUUUGUAGUCACAUCUUCCUCUGACUCUUUUCUGCUUCUCUUCCACUUUUAGGAACCCCCGUGAUAACACUGAGUGCACCUGGAUAAUCCAAGACAAUCUUAUUUCAAGAUUGUCUGAUUGGCCACUUUAAUUCUAUCCACAGCCUUAAUUCCUCUUUGUCAUGUAACUAACAUGCUCACAGUUUCCAAGGAUUAGGACAUAGACCUAUUUUUAGGGGAGCGAGGGAAAGAGGUCUUACGCUGCUUACAAUUUAUACCAAAUUUCUCAGCAUUAUCAGAUUAAAAUAUUUUUAAAAAUAUUUAUAACCAAUAAGAAGCACAAAUCUUAGCAGCUUCUUGUAAGUAUCUCAUUGGAAAUUUCACAUAGGUAAACAUCAAUUUCAGAGGAUCCACGGGCUCUAACUCAAGUUCUAUUACUGGUGUUUCUCAAAGCUGGUUCCCUAUGCCGUAUUCCAUACCCCUGAUUUGUGGUGGAGCAAGUCAGGAGGAAGAGGAUUCCCAAGAUCAAGUCAAUUUGCAAAACACGGAAUGAUUUCUCCUUGUCAGAGUCUCGCAAAGCAUGUUAGCAUCUUCAGGCUUUAUGAUGCACCCUCUCAAGAAACUUUAAGUUUAUUUAGCUCAAAAAGUUUAUUUCCCAAGCCUAUUUGAAUGUUGGAUUUUUUUAAAAAGUGAAAUACAUAUAAACAUUUCAGUUCUGGAGAUAUUUCCCUUCAUUAAGUAGAAGAAUAAGGAGAUGACAGCAGAAUUUAAAAAAAAAAAAAAAAAAAAAAAAAAAAA
rnacentral:lncRNA from 1 species